rnacentral:rRNA from 1 species
GACGAACGCUGGCGGCGUGCUUAACACAUGCAAGUCGAACGGAAAGGCCCUGCUUUUGUGGGGUGCUCGAGUGGCGAACGGGUGAGUAACACGUGAGUAACCUGCCCUUGACUUUGGGAUAACUUCAGGAAACUGGGGCUAAUACCGGAUAGGAGCUCCUGCUGCAUGGUGGGGGUUGGAAAGUUUCGGCGGUUGGGGAUGGACUCGCGGCUUAUCAGCUUGUUGGUGGGGUAGUGGCUUACCAAGGCUUUGACGGGUAGCCGGCCUGAGAGGGUGACCGGCCACAUUGGGAAUGAGAUACGGCCCAGACGCAUACGGGAGGCAGCAGUGGGGAAUAUUGCACAAUGGGCGGAAGCGUGAUGCAGCAACGCCGCGUGCGGGAUGACGGCCUUCGGGUUGUAAACCGCUUUCGCCUGUGACGAAGCGUGAGUGACGGUAAUGGGUAAAGAAGCACCGGCUAACUACGU